UGGCGGACGGGUGAGUAAUGUCUGGGAAACUGCCCGAUGGAGGGGGAUAACUACUGGAAACGGUAGCUAAUACCGCAUAACGUCUUCGGACCAAAGUGGGGGACCUUCGGGCCUCACACCAUCGGAUGUGCCCAGAUGGGAUUAGCUAGUAGGUGGGGUAAUGGCUCACCUAGGCGACGAUCCCUAGCUGGUCUGAGAGGAUGACCAGCCACACUGGAACUGAGACACGGUCCAGACUCCUACGGGAGGCAGCAGUGGGGAAUAUUGCACAAUGGGCGCAAGCCUGAUGCAGCCAUGCCGCGUGUAUGAAGAAGGCCUUCGGGUUGUAAAGUACUUUCAGUGGGGAGGAAGGCGAUGCGGUUAAUAACCGUGUCGAUUGACGUUACCCGCAGAAGAAGCACCGGCUAACUCCGUGCCAGCAGCCGCGGUAAUACGGAGGGUGCAAGCGUUAAUCGGAAUUACUGGGCGUAAAGCGCACGCAGGCGGUCUGUCAAGUCGGAUGUGAAAUCCCCGGGCUCAACCUGGGAACUGCAUUCGAAACUGGCAGGCUAGAGUCUUGUAGAGGGGGGUAGAAUUCCAGGUGUAGCGGUGAAAUGCGUAGAGAUCUGGAGGAAUACCGGUGGCGAAGGCGGCCCCCUGGACAAAGACUGACGCUCAGGUGCGAAAGCGUG
rnacentral:rRNA from 1 species